rnacentral:rRNA from 1 species
UGACAGGUGGUGCAUGGUUGUCGUCAGCUCGUGUCGUGAGAUGUUGGGUUAAGUCCCGCAACGAGCGCAACCCUCGACCUUAGUUGCCAGCAUUCAGUUGGGCACUCUAAGGUGACUGCCGGCUAAAAGUCGGAGGAAGGUGGGGAUGACGUCAAAUCAUCAUGCCCCUUAUGACCUGGGCUACACACGUGCUACAAUGGGCGGUACAAAGGGUCGCGAACCCGCGAGGGGGAGCCAAUCCCAAAAAGCCGCUCUCAGUUCGGAUUGCAGGCUGCAACUCGCCUGCAUGAAGCCGGAAUCGCUAGUAAUCGCGGAUCAGCAUGCCGCGGUGAAUACGUUCCCGGGCCUU